rnacentral:lncRNA from 11 species
CUGUCGAUUGAGUUCCAGCGUACAUGAUAAUAAUUAAGGCUGCCAAUUGUUUAUAUCCUGCUUCUCUCCCUCAUGUGACCCAAAGCGACUUACAGCAUAUUAAAAUCAUGUAAACAACAAUCCAAAUACAUCAAUAAUAAAUAUAAAACAUCACAAAAUACUUGAAAACAAGAAUACUAUAGGGUUGUUGUAUGAAAUUGCACAGAAAAUUAAGCGGCUGAGGGGGAAAAGGAAAGGGCCUGAGGCUGUUAGGAAUGGUGGGAGUUGAAGUCCAAAACACCUGCAGAGUCCAAGCUUGCCCGCCCAUCCAUGCCUCAGCAGCAGAACGCCAUAAAGCUGGAAGCAUUGCUAGCGAGAAUGCGAGAACGCGCGCGUGCGACGUUCCCUUGGCAACCGAGCGCGAGCGAUAAACACACUUUCCCCCCGGCGCGAGGGAAGUUCCCCUCCGGCACGUGCGGCAUAAGGGAAAAGAAGGCGGGCGUGCCUUGUGCGCAGGCGCGGGAGGAGAGGUUUUCCACCUGCCCCGCUGCCCGGGAGGGAGAGAGAGAGGGAGAGGGAGCGCGCGCACUCACCCACUGCCUCCCUCCCUCCCUCCCUCUCUCGUGCACGCGCGCUGCCCCUUCGCCCAAAGAAGGGAGAGAGCGGCGCUUCUUCCCUUCGGAGCGCUCUUCUCCCCCAGCCAUGGGCUGCUCCAGCAGCGUUCAGACCCACGUCAAGGAAAAGAGCCGCCUGGCUUCCAAGAUCCCGGACCCCGACGGGCUGCAGAAAGGCGAUGCCAACUUACCCAUCGCAGAUGAGAAUGACACAAUACCUGACCAGACCAAACUUGGAGCAAUUGACGAAGUGGAACCUGGGUCUCCUGGAAGAAAGCAAAGUGAGAGUCUUGCCAAAGAGGUGGCAGAUGUUUUGAUUCCUGGACUGACAAACUGUGCCCUUUCCACCUGUCAAAGAGUGGAUCCGGAGGGCACAGAACCACAGCCGGUGGCAGUAGAAGAAAAGCUCAAUGCCAGCGGGCCUUACCCUGCCAGUUUUAUAGAAGCUGGAGAGCUUCAGUAUGUGAAACCAGUGGAAGAAGAGGUCAGUGAGCCUCUAGCUGUCCAUGAAGCUGCCAACAAUUUGCCUCCAGAAAUUGUAGAGAACAACAUGCCUGAACCUGUUGAAUCAUCUCCAGAAAUUGUACAGAACAAUACGCCUGAACCUGUUGAAUCAUCUCCAGAAAUUGUACAAAACAAUACACCUGAACCUGUUGAAUCAUCUCCAGAAAUUGUACAAAACAAUACGCCUGAACCUGUUGAGUCAUCACAGGAGGACCCACCUGAGCCUGUGGCAGAGGAAAUAGUUAACCUUGUGACAGAAAUCGUGAAGGAACUAGAAGCGGAUGAAGUGGAACUGCUAACUGAGGGUGAGACAGGAGAAAAGAUGGAAACUGAGAAGCACUGUGAGAUAGUAAGCGAAUGCUCUGAAACAAAAGAAGAAGAAAUGGGAGAAGCUACAGCCUCAGCAGCAACAGAGAUAGAAGUUAUUAAUGAAGAGUGACUCAAGGAAUUUGAAUGGACUUCAUCUGUGGUUGCACAAAUCAUCAUAAUGCUCCAAUUUGAGAAAACCUGUUUUUAUAACAGCUUAUUAUAUAGACUUACUGCAAUAAUCGAGCACAGUGAGAACAUUAUAAGGAUUUUAUUUGAGAAAGUCAAGUUGCCAAGACACUGCUGAGGAACUGCAAUAUAAAACCUUCAUGUUUGCCAUAGAGUGCCUUCUGCAGACACAUAAAUGAAAUUACAUUUCACAAAACAACUUUGCCUUUCAAUAGAAAAAUUAAUGAACAUGAAGGGAAGUUUAGGGAAGUCUAUCAACAAUAUUAAGCGUAAAAGCCGGUGCAGGUAACAUUAAAUAGCACCAGAAGACUGUGCUAUUAUCAUCUAAAGAGGGAUAAGAAACGUCAAGUGCUAACAGAAACCUUGCAGUCAUGAGUUAUUUAACUGCACAAAUAAAAUUACUGCAUGAAUCUUCAAUUUUGUAUACUCUUAACAGCGUUAGAGCUUUGUGUUGUUGUUUUGGGUACAAUCUAGAGAUAAAUCCAUGACUUCACAUUUUCCAAAGUAAUGAAAACAGUCAUUGCAAUCAUCAAAAUACUUGGAGGAAGAGAACUAGUAUGAAAUGAUUGUAUUCUGCACACUUUCAUAAUUAUUGGCUAGCAGAUAAGGAAAUUGCAAUUCAUUGUCAUUGGAAUGUGAUGGCAACUUUUAAAAAGUAGUAUUUACAAACCUGUAAUUCAGAAUUCAAGCAAUCAAAGUCCUCCUGUCAGUCUGUGCUAUCUAAAGAAUUGCCUUCAGAGGUAGUUAUUGGCAUGGACGUGUAAUGCCUACAUAUUCCUUGAAAAUGAUACCACCCCAAGAGUAUUUAUGAAUUCACUGGGUUAUUGUGAAUUUUCCGGGCUGUAUGGUCAUGUUCCAGAAACAUUCUCUCCCGACAUUUCGCCUACAUCUAUGGCAGGCAUCCUCAGAGGUUGUGAGGUAUUUUGGAAACUAAGCAAGGGAGGUUUAUAUACCUAUGGAAGGUCCAGGGUGAGAAAAAUAACUCUUGCCUGUUGGAGGCCAGUGUGGAUGUUGUAAUUAAUCACCUUGAUUAGCAUUAAUGGCCUUGCCAGCUUCAAGGUCUGGCUUCUUCCUGCCUGGGGGAUCCUUUGUUUGGAAGUGUUAGCUGAAGCUGGCGCUGAUUGAUUUAUGUCUGGAAUUCCUCUGUUUUCGGAGUGUUGUUCUUUAUUUACUGUUCUGAUUUUAGUUUUUUUAAUACUGUAGCCAGAUUUUGUUCAUUUCAUGGUUUCCUCCUUUCUGUUGAAAUUGUCCACAUGCUUGUGGAUUUCAGUGGCGUCUCCGUGUAGUCUGACAUGGUGGUUGUCAGCGUGGUCCAGCAUUUCUGUGUUCUCAAAUAAUAUACUGUGUCCAGGUUGGUUCAAGUGCUCUGCU